GGCUCUGGGCCUAGUCUAAAUAUAGAAGCUCAGAAGUUCACUCCGAACAGUCUAACACACACAAUUCACUGGGUCAUCAGUGCCACUCGAAGUUAUGCUUGGUGUCACAUGAAAGCAUUUCAUCUCAGUAGUACAUCUGAACCAGCUACACGGAAAAAGCCACCUACAUUUUCCGCAUGUGUAUAACUGCUACCGGGAGUUAAAGCAGCAUCUAAAAUAUUUGCUGCAGGUCUACAUUUUGUCAUCUGGAGAUUUAUCUCAUACUUCCACGCAGCAACGGAUGGGCAUGAUAUGAAAAUAAAAUAAACCUAAAGAGGAACAAGCCAAAACCAA